GCACAAGCGGAGGAACAUGUGGUUUAAUUCGAUGAUACGCGAGGAACCUUACCUGGGCUUAAAUGGGGAGUGACAGCUGUCGAAAGAUGGUUUUCUUCGGACACUCUUCAAGGUGCUGCAUGGUUGUCGUCAGCUCGUGCCGUGAGGUGUCGGGUUAAGUCCCAUAACGAGCGCAACCCUUACCGUUAGUUACCAUCAGGUUAAGCUGGGGACUCUAGCGGGACUGCCACCGUAAGGUGAGAGGAAGUGGGGAUGACGUCAAAUCAGCACGGCCCUUAUGUCCAGGGCUACACACGUGUUACAAUGGCCAGUACAAAGGGCAGCUACCGGGUGACCGGAUGCUAAUCUCUAAAGCUGGUCUCAGUUCGGAUCGAAGUCUGCAACCCGACUUCGUGAAGCUGGAUUCGCUAGUAAUCGCGCAUCAGCCAUGCCGCGGUCGAAUACGUUCCCGGGCCUU
rnacentral:rRNA from 1 species